UUCAAAUCAUGCUACACUUUUGUCACAUGACCUUACUACUGUCAGACCUACAGUAUGUUCCUGUUCACUUUCAAGGGAACUUCGAACUGCGUCCUCUAGGGGUCACUAUGGGGAUACCUCGUUGUGACCCGUGUCUGAAGCAUACAUUGAAAAAACACCAAUAAGUUGGCCGGCGACAGCCUCUGACGUCACUACCAGUGCGACUAUAGAUAAAUAUGCAACGGGAGAACACAUCAUUCUCUUCUUUGUCUUCUGAACAUCUGAACGUGGUAAGAGCGAUCUUUCUCUGUCUAUCAUGGUGACUACUAGCAAAGCGUUUAGACAGUGUGUGCAUCCGUGUCAUCGUUAUUUGACACCCGAUGACACACACAAUCUUUGUGUUGUUUGUUUGGGUGAAGAGCACACAUGCAAUGUCCUUGAGGGGGCAAUGUGCAUGCACUUUGAGCGUUUUUCAAUGAAAAAGCUCCGCUCUCGUUUGUCUCUCUUUUUGAGGAAAGAGGGGCAGCCAUCUGCUUCCCGCAGUUUAGGACCCGCAACUGCUGAGGCACGGAGGAGAAUGAGCUCGUGGGGAUCACAGGUGGAUCUGGCUGAGGAGUUUAGAGAGGGAUUUUCCCUUUCGCACUUGUCGGCGGUGGACGAGAGAGAGCCUCUGGAGAAUGAUGUUAUAUCUUUAACACUUUCUGAUAAAGAGGUUAGUGCUCUGCUGGGUUCGGCCCAGGAAGAGCAGAAGAUGUACGAGGAUGGCGAAGAAGCAGAGGCUGAGCCUUCUCAAUUCUCCUGCCCUGCGUAUGUAGAGCUGUUGGAGGUUAUGAAUCGCACCAUGGCAAAGUUGGACUCCCCAUGGAAGCGCGCUAGCAAGGUGACGCCGCGAGGUCAUCUCGAUGAUCGUUAUCUUUCUGACCAUAGCCCUCCAGCUCAGGUGAGCCUUCCAUUUCUGCCUAUUCUCCAUACAGAGAUCGAAAAGGAAUGGAAGAGGCCGUUUUGUUCUCGCAUCCAUUGGUUUCAGCAUACGAGUUAUGCCAACAUCGAGGCGAUGCGCGAAAGCGGCUAUGAGAGGAUGCCCCCUGUAGAAGAGACGCUGGCUAGCUAUCUCUCUGUGGGGGAGACAUCCUCUCUUAAAUCUCCCUCCUUGCCAUUUAAGCCCUUUCAGGAUACAUCUCGUUUAAAUGGCAAGGCAUAUGCAGCAGCAGGUCAGGCUGUGGCUUCAUUGCACAUGAUGGCG
ensembl:lncRNA